rnacentral:lncRNA from 1 species
UGAGAACAUGUCCGGACAAGCGAAUUCACAAAUCAAUAUUGUACAGAUUGUCUUUCUUGCAAAAACCUACCAACAAUUGGUAUGCGGUGCAGCAUAAUAUCAACUGAUUUAUUUCUGAUAAAUUGUUAUUGCACUAACCGCUGUGUUGCCAACGACACGCUGGUGUCCAUCCGUUCCGCUAUAAGGCGGGAAGAUGCAAUGUAACAACAAUGUAACAACCACAACCAUCGCCGAUUCAAGUUAAAACAUCGACAGUUCAGUAAAGACUCUAUUCUAGAUCUAGAACAAUGACCUCACAGAGGUCAGCGUAUAAAACCAAGCAAACCACCUCGUUUGGUCAAGUUAAAAUGUUUGCUUAUAAACUAACCCUUUUCCUAACGUUAACCUAAUAAUCCUAACCUGCUAGGUUAAUUCGCCUAACCUGCUGCGUAAAUCCUAACCUGCUAUAAAAAGUCAAAUCUGACGUUCAUUUUACAAAAGCUGGAUCCCUGUUAGCCAUGACCACGUUGUUUGCAACCAUUUCCUCCAGUAGCCUACGUACAGUACACGAUGUAGCCUACAAUGACAAUCCGCUAGCUAUAUUUUGCAGAAAUAAAAGCUUACCUGGGGCUUUUGACAGCAGAUGGUGAUAGACAUAUUUAAUGUAAAUUCAGAGUUGUCUGUGUGGGUACAGCGAAUACGAUGCAGUUGGCACGGUUCCGUUUUCUGUCAGGUCCCUCUCGCUCUGUCCCUCUCCCUCUCCAAUGUGACUGAAGCUCAGACGAGUUGAAUGAGCAGAGUCUGGGCGGCUCUAACACGGUCAAAAAAACCCUGUGCCACCCUGCCGGUGACGUAGCAACGUCUAGGCCAGCCUGCGAGAAAAGCGCUGGUACUGCCGUUUAAAGUUCUAUCACCUGGGACAUGCUCAAAACCAUGUAAACGCCUGCAUGACAUCGAUUUAGACCAGCUGAAGGACCAACCAGACAGACAAUCAGCAGAAAACAACAGUGACAGCACCGUCAACAAAAAUGGAAGGGAUCUUUUGCAGCUCUGUAGAAGCCUGGGUCUGUACUUUGUCAAUGGUAGGUUACGGGGGGACUCUUUGGGGAGAUUCACCUACUGCUCACCUCUUGGCCACAGCACAGUAGACUAUAUGAUCACAGACAUUGACCCUUUCUCUCUCAGCUCAUUCACUGUCAAGCCACUAACACCUCUGUCUAAUCACAGCCAAAUUACAUUGUUCCUCAAAAGAACAGACAUGGAAACAACCACACAUUCACAGCCCAGUAAGCUGUACAACAUCAUAAAUUCAUACAGAUGGGCCCAAAACAGCACAGAAGAAUACCAGAAAGCAACCUGGAACCAAAAUAUCCAAACACUCUUAGAUAACUUUCUGGAUACCACAUUCACUCACAGUAAAGAAGGCAUCAAUCUAGCAGUACGAAACAUCAACUAUAUAUUCAGGCAAACGGCAAAAGAAGCACAAUUGAAAUGGUUAAAAAACUAAACAAAAAAGAUCACAUAUGACAACUGGUUUGAUGCAGAUUGUAAAAUUAUAAGGAAAAAACUUAGAACACUAUCCAACCAAAAGCACAGAGACCCACAUAAUGGUGAAUUACUCCUUCAUUACUGUGAGACUUUAAAACUCUAUAAACGUACACUCAGAACCAAAAAAGCAAAGUACAACAGCAAGCAGCUGACACUAAUUGAGGAGUCCAUAAACACAAACAACUUCUGGCAAAAUUGGAAAAAACUAAAAAAAAUCUAAACAAGAGGAAUUAGCGAUACAAAAUGGUGACAUAUGGACAACCCAUUUUACAACACUCUACAACACCGUUCAAAUUGACACAAACGCAGAACAACGCCAAAUUCAUGAGAAGUUGAAUGGAUUAGAAAAAGCUAUAAAGGACAAUCAAAAUCCAUUGGACUGCCCAAUUACUGACCAGGAUUUAAAAAAGCAUGCGGACCUGAUGGCAUCCUAAAUGAGAUGCUCAAACUCACUAGUGCAAAAUUUCAAUUGGCUAUAUUAAAACUGUUUAAUUUGAUUCUGAGUGAAGGUUAUUUCCCUGACAUCUGGAUUCAAGGAUUCAUAACCCCAAUCUUUAACCUGUUAGGGGUAGGGGGCAGUAUUGACACGGCCGGAUAAAAAAAGUACCCGAUUUAAUCUGGUUACUACUCCUGCCCAGUAACUAGAAUAUGCAUAUAAUUAUUGGCUUUGGAUAGAAAAC